rnacentral:rRNA from 1 species
UAGGGAAUCUUCCGCAAUGGACGCAAGUCUGACGGAGCAACGCCGCGUGAGUGAAGAAGGAUUUCGGUUCGUAAAACUCUGUUGUUAGAGAAGAACAGCGCAUAGAGUAACUGUUAUGCGUGUGACGGUAUCUAACCAGAAAGCCACGUCUAACUACGUGCCAGCAGCCGCGGUAAUACGUAGGUGGCAAGCGUUGUCCGGAUUUAUUGGGCGUAAAGCGAGCGCAGGCGGUCAAUUAAGUCUGAUGUGAAAGCCCCCGGCUCAACCGGGGAGGGUCAUUGGAAACUGGUUGACUUGAGUGCAGAAGAGGAGAGUGGAAUUCCAUGUGUAGCGGUGAAAUGCGUAGAUAUAUGGAGGAACACCAGUGGCGAAGGCGACUCUCUGGUCUGUAACUGACGCUGAGGUUCGAAAGCGUGGGUAGCAAACAGG